UCCAAGAAAAAAUCGAGAAAAAUCAAUAUGGCGCCCAAGUUGAAGAAGUCUCCUAGUAAAGGGUAUGUUGGCGGAGUUGGAGCGUUUAUUAUGGACUUUUAUCGAAACCCAUUAAAAUGGCAAAUAAUCAAGCAUACUGGUAUAUUCAUUGUAGCAGUUAUUGCAGUUAGAGAAUUUUCUGACAUAGAUCUGAUGGCACCUCCUCCAAGUCCUUGAAAGAAAUCUACCAAUCAAAUGAGCUGUCCCAUGAUGGGAAUGCUACUGCUGAAGUGGAAUACGUUCAUUAUAUUUUAGGAAUUUACAAUAUUGUAACAAUAAUAUGUAACUUAUUCAAGUGGAUAUGGUAGAUACAUUGUGAAAUAAAGUUGUGAUUUUUUUAUU